GCCAGCCCGCUCAAGAAACUUAAAGGAAUUGACGGGGCCCGCACAAGCGGUGGAGUAUGUGGUUUAAUCGAUGCAACGCGAAGAACCUUACCUGGUCUUGACAUCCCGGAGACCCUUAGGAAACUAGGGGGUGCUUCCAUCUGGAAGAAUCUGGAGACAGGUGCUGCAUGGCUGUCGUCAGCUCGUGUCGUGAGAUGUUGGGUUAAGUCCCGCAACGAGCGCAACCCUUGCCUUUAGUUGCCAGCAGUUCGGCUGGGCACUCUAAAGGGACUGCCGGUGUUAAACCGGAGGAAGGUGGGGAUGACGUCAAGUCCUCAUGGCCUUUAUGACCAGGGCUACACACGUACUACAAUGGCCGAUACAAAGGGCAGCGACACUGCGAGGUGAAGCCAAUCCCGUAAAAUCGGUCUCAGUCCGGAUUGGAGUCUGCAACUCGACUCCAUGAAGUUGGAAUCGCUAGUAAUCGUGGAUCAGCAUGCCACGGUGAAUACGUUCCCGGGCCUU
rnacentral:rRNA from 1 species